ensembl:lncRNA
AUGUCUUUCACAGGUCCACUCGUAUCAAAGAAAUCAUUAGAACUUAACUCAACUUUUGCUGCUAUUUCACUCAGCAAGCAGACACAAAUUCCUUCCAUCUCUGACCCAAGUUCAUUCAAUGUGAAGAUGGAAAACCUUCCAUCUUUCUUGCUUACAAUUUGCCCAAUAGAAUCCAGGCAGUUUUCUGAUUUCUCUGACUCAUGUUUACUAAGAGGAGAUAUACAAAUGCCUUCCAUCCAUAGCCCUAUUUCAGUGAGCAAAUGCAUACAACUUUCUCACUCCUCUGAUAAUAGUUUGCCAACAGAAACUUUACAAGUUCCCUCUACCCACCUUGCUAUCAGAGUGAGCAGAUCAACACAACCGACUUCCUUCUUUGAUGUGUGUUCAUCAAAUGUAUGCAGAGAAAAAGUUCUUUCAUCCCCAGGGCCACUGAAAUCAAGGGAAUCCAUCCAACAUCCCUCAAAUCUUGGUGUUAUUUCAAUCAACAAAUUUACCCAACUUUCUUCUCCCUCUGCCCCAAGUUCAUUGAAAAUGAAGACAAAAGAAUCUUUCUUGCUUCCACUUUGUCCAAUACAAUCCAAGCAGUUUUCUGAUUUCUCUGAUACAAGUUUACCAAGAGAAAACAUCCAAAUUCCCUCUAUCCUUGGACCUAUUUCAGUGAUCAAAUGCAUACAAUUUUUUCACUCCUCUGACAAAAGUCUGCCAGUAGAAACUUUACAAGUUCCCACCACCCACCUUGCUAUCACAGAGAGCAAACCACCACAACCUGUUUCCUUGCUUGAUGCAAAUUCAUCAGCUGUAGGCAUAGAACAAGCUAUGACUUUGCCAGGUCCACUGAAAUCAAGAGAAUCCGUCCAACAAGCCUCAAACCUUGGUCUUAUUUCAGCCAACAAGUCUGCCCCGUUUCUUUCUUCCUCUGUCCCAAGUUCACUGAACGUAAAUACAGAAGUUCCAUCUUUCUUGCUUCCAUUUCGUCCAACAGAAUCCAGGCAGUUUACUGAUUUCUCUGACGCAAGUCUACCAAAGGAAGACACACAAAGCUCUUCUAUCCUUGGACUUAUUUCAGUGAGCAAAUGCACACAAUCGUCUCACUCCUCUGACAAAAGUUUACCAAGAGAAACUUUACAAGAUCCCCCCACCGACCUGGCUGUCACAGAGAGCAAAUCAACACAAUCCACUUCCUUGUUUGAUGCAAGUUCAUCAGCUGUAGGCAUAGAACAAGCAAUGUCUUUGCCAGGUCCACUGAAAUCAAGGGAAUCCACUGAAUAUCCCUCAAACGUUGGUGUGACUUCAGUCAACAAGUCCACCCAAUUUCCUAUUCCCUCUGUUCCAAGUUCACUGAAUGUGAACAAAGAAGAAGCCCCGCCUUUCUUGCCUCCAUUGUGUCCAACAGAAUCCAGGCAGUUUUCUGAUUCAUCUGACACAAGUCUACCAAGAGAAGAUACACAAAAUCCUUCUAUCCUUGAACCUAUUUCAGUGAGCAAAGACGCACAAUCGUCUCACUCCUCUGACAAAGUUUUGCCAACAGAAACUUCACAAGUUCCUCUAUCCACCUCAAUGUCACAGAGAGCAAAUCAACACAAUCCAUUUAUUUCUUUGAUGCAAGUUUAUCAGCUGUAG